CAAACAGUUCAGCUGGGAAGGAAUAGUGGAGUGAAGUAGUUUGCAGUUCUCAAAUUAGCACAUUGUAGCCAGGUCUUAAAAAGCCCUCUCUUACUGGGGCAAAGACUCACAGCCCAGUACCUGCUUUAUGAAACCCUGCAGUCUGUCCUGGCAUGGCUCAGCACUGUGUGUCACCUGUUUUGUAUUAGGAGCGGGUCACGCUAACUGCCAGUUUCCUGGAGACUGUGUAGGGUCCUGCUGAGGCCUCUUGGAGAGGGAAAUACUCCGGCUGCACAGACACGUGGGGGAGCAGGGCAGAGGGGAAGGGACAGCAUGGAUUCAAACCUGGGCGUGUGGGGCUUUAUACCGUUUAUGCGUGUUAAAGGCCAUCACAGUCUUUUUAAUUUUCCCACCUUCUUGUUCAUGGCAGUAGUCCCACUGUUUAUUUUCAAACGUGGAGGGGGUUUUGUGUUCCAACAAACUCUUAAGAGAAUUACUUUCUCCAGGGCUGUAAUUGUUUGAAUGUAAUGCCAUUCUCUGUAUUCAUCCAAGAAGAUGCAGCCUUUUCAAAAAUCUCACCUUCAGUCAAUGAAACGGAGGACCCCAUACCACAAGGCCUGAUUCUGUUAGCUUCCAUGUAUCCAAAGCUACAGUGACUCAGCUGACUUCGAUGAAUGCCCUCUGGAACUGUGCUAGCUGGAAACCAGCCUCACUCCUGGUUGUUCUCUGCUGGGGAAAGCAGCUUGAAACGCCCAAUUGCAUCAGACUUCGGCUUCUGAAUCACAGGA
ensembl:lncRNA